UACGUAGGUGGCAAGCGUUAUACGGAUUUAUUGGGCGUAAAGAGAACGCAGGCGGUCUUUUAAGUCUGAUGUGAAAGCCUUCGGCUUAACCGGAGUAGUGCAUUGGAAACUGGGAGACUUGAGUGCAGAAGAGGAGAGUGGAACUCCAUGUGUAGCGGUGAAAUGCGUAGAUAUAUGGAAGAACACCAGUGGCGAAAGCGGCUCUCUGGUCUGUAACUGACGCUGAGGUUCGAAAGCGUGGGUAGCAAACAGG
rnacentral:rRNA from 1 species